rnacentral:tRNA from 1 species
GCACCCAUAGCUCAGCUGGAUAGAGUACUCGGCUACGAACCGAGCGGUCGGAAGUUCGAGCCGAGCGUAGCGAGACAACGUUGCUUUAGCAACGGCCCGCAGGGCGAGGCGUUAGCCGAGUCAUCUUCCUGGGUGCACCA